GUUGACCUCGGAUCAGGUAGGGAUACCCGCUGAACUUAAGCAUAUCAAUAAGGCGGAGGAA
rnacentral:rRNA from 2 species